rnacentral:piRNA from 8 species
CGGAUAGCUCAGUCGGUAGAGCAUCAG